UACGUAGGGUGCGAGCGUUAAUCGGAAUUACUGGGCGUAAAGCGUGCGCAGGCGGUUUUGCAAGUCAGAUGUGAAAUCCCCGGGCUUAACCUGGGAACUGCAUUUGUGACUGCACAGCUGGAGUGCGGCAGAGGGGGAUGGAAUUCCGCGUGUAGCAGUGAAAUGCGUGGAUAUGCGGAGGAACACCGAUGGCGAAGGCAAUCCCCUGGGCCUGCACUGACGCUCAUGCACGAAAGCGUGGGGAGCAAACAGG
rnacentral:rRNA from 1 species